GGGUCAAAUAGAAGCUAUAGCCACUGGCCUACACCACAGCCAUAGCAAUACCAGAUCUGACCCGCAUCUGUGACCUACACCACAGCUCGUGGUAAUACCAGAUCUUUAACCCACUGAGUGAGGCCAGGGAUUGAACCUAAGUCCUCAUGAUUACUAGUCAGAUUCUUUUCCACUAAGCCAUGACGGGAACUCCAGAUAAUGAACUCCUUUUACAGCUAAGGAAAUAGAUACUAGGAGCCUAAGUAACCUGCUACUAUGGACUAAAUUAUGUCCCCCUCACCCAAAUUAAUUUAUAUGUCCUAAUCCUAUAGGAUUGAUGGACUUAGAAAAAGAGGAAAAAAUCUUUCUCUUUCUCUCAAUCUGUAUGUGCAUGUGUGUUGUGUGUGUGUGUGUGUGUGUGUGUGUGUGUGUCUCCCCCUCCCCAUAUGCACCAAGAAAAGGCCAUGUGAGGACUCAGGGAUAUAGCCAUCUGCAACCCAAGGAGAGCCCUCACCAGACACUGACCCUGAUGUCACUUGGAUCUUAGACUUUCCAGCCUCUAAAGCUGUAAGAAUAUAAAUCUCUGUUGUUUAAGCCUCCAGUCUAUGGUAUUUUAUUAAGGUACCCCAAGCCAAGACACCUACCUAACUAUGAAACUAGUGAAUGAGAAGCAGGAUGUGAAUCCAGGCAGACUGGAUCUAGAAUCUGUGUUGUUCACCACUAGCUUGUACUGUCUCAAUAGAAUACCUUAUUUGAAUAUGUUUUUCUCAAAAAUUGCUUUAGUAAAGUUUGUUCACAUAUUUCCAUUUUCAGUUCUAUGAAGCCUCAGGCAUACUUCAUUUAUAGCUAUAUUUUAGAGCUGUAUAUUCUGCGUUUUCAACUAUUGGCCACACCUAUGUUCUGUACCAUUUCAUGUGUUCUAUACCAUUUUAUUGUGCCCUAGUACACUGCUAUCAUAUCUGCUCUAAAUUCAAAAGUUCAUUUGAGGUACAAACUAUUAUGUAUAAAAUAAGCUACAAGAAUAUCUUGUACAAUACAGGGAAUAUAGCCAAUAUUUUAUAAUAUCUGUGAUUGGAGUAUAACCUUUAAAACUGUGAAUCACUAUAUUAUACACCUGUAACAUAUAAUAUUGUACAUCAACUAUAAUAAAAAGAACAUUCAAAUAUUCAUAAGCUGAGAAAGGUUUAAGUUUGUUUUAAGAGAGUAGGAACAAAAGAAGAGAUCAUUGGUUGAAAAAAAAUGUAAUAUAUUAAAAUGUUUAGUACAUUUUCCAUAAAAGCUAAAACAAUAUUGGAGUAGGUUAUUACUAGAUUUAUCAGUGUUUUAAAAUUUGGGGAGUUCUCUUAUCACUACAUGAAAAUGCCAGAUCCUUAGCCCAUUACACCACAAGAGAACUCCUGUGUUUAUAUUUUUAAAUAUGCUGACAUGCAAAAUAAAAAUGUUUAAUGGGCCUUUAGUACAUGUCCAUUAUAACAUGAAUUUAGAUAGUCUUUGAAUGAAAUUACGUCUUGAAAAUAUAAAUCUGUUAAAAACAGUUAGGCUGUAACACCACGUUUUUGUUUUUGUUUUUUUUUUUUGCUUUUUAGGGCCGAACCCACGGCAUAUGGAGGUUCCCAGGCCAACAGUAGAAUCGGAGCCACAGCUGCCAGCCUACGCCACAUCCACAGCAACAUCAGAUCCGAGCCGCAUUUCGACCUACAACACAACUCAUGGCAACACUAGAUCCUUAACCCACUGAGCAAUGCCAGGGAUCAAACCCCCAACCUCAUGAUUCCUAGUUGGAUUUGUUUCUACUGCACCACAACGGGAACUCCUGUAACAUCACUUUUAGAUAUUUUCCCCAACUCUAAUUUUAUGCAGAGAUUAUAGAAUAAUUGGUCUUUGUAUUUUGAAACUUUGAACUAAAAUAGUACAUGGAAUCUUCUUUUUUUUGGCUGUGCCACAGCAGCAAACUGAGCCAGAUUCUUAACCCACUGAACCACAUGGUUACUCCAGAAUCAUUAACAAGUAAAAACAGUUGCUUCUACAAUU
ensembl:lncRNA